UCUCCGUUGGUGAACCAGCGGAGGGAUCAUUACAGAGUUUAUCCAAACUCCCAAACCCAUGUGAACAUUACCUUUUGUUGCCUCGGCAGUGGUGUCUCCUCUCCGUCCGCGGGGAUGGGGGCAGCCUGCCGGUGGACCACAACUCAUUGUCUGACUCUAAGCAUCUCCGAGCCAUACACAAACGAAUCAAAACUUUCAACAACGGAUCUCUUGGUUCUGGCAUCGAUGAAGAACGCAGC
rnacentral:misc_RNA from 1 species